rnacentral:rRNA from 1 species
AUUGAACGCUGGCGGCAGGCCUAACACAUGCAAGUCUAACGGUAACAUUGGAGCUUGCUCCAGAUGACGAGUGGCGGACGGGUGAGUAAUAUAUGGGGAUCUGCCUGAUGGAGGGGGAUAACUACUGGAAACGGUAGCUAAUACCGCAUAAUGUCGCAAGACCAAAGCGGGGGACUUUCGGGCCUCGCACCAUCAGAUGAACCCAUACGGGAUUAGCUAGUAGGUGGGGUAAUGGCUCACCUAGGCGACGAUCUCUAACUGGUCUGAGAGGAUGACCAGUCACACUGGGACUGAGACACGGCCCAGACUCCUACCGGGAGGCAGCAGUGGGGGAAUAUUGGACAAUGGGGGCAACCCUGAUCCAGCCAUGCCGCGUGUGUGAAGAAGGUCUUCGGAUUGUAAAGCUACUUUAAGUUGUGAGGAAGGGUACGUGUAACGAACGUACUUUGACGUUAGCAACAGAAUAAGCACCGGCUACUUCGUG